UGAUGAUGAUGAUGAUGAUGAUGAUGAUGAUGAUGAUGAUAACAAGAAGAAGAAAAAGAAGGAGGAGGAGGAGGAGGAGGGAGGAAAUUGAGACUACUGACCAUUAUUCACAUCACUACCAUCACCAUCAUCAUCAUCAUCAUCAUCAUUA
rnacentral:pre_miRNA from 1 species